GACGAACGCUGGCGGCGUGCUUAACACAUGCAAGUCGAGCGGUAAGGCCCUUCGGGGUACACGAGCGGCGAACGGGUGAGUAACACGUGGGUGACCUGCCCCCUACUCUGGGAUAAGCCUGGGAAACUGGGUCUAAUACCGGAUAUGACCUAUGAUCGCAUGGUUGUGGGUGGAAAGUGGUGUUUUGGACACUGUCGGUGGGGGAUGGGCCCGCGGCCUAUCAGCUUGUUGGUGGGGUGAUGGCCUACCAAGGCGACGACGGGUAGCCGGCCUGAGAGGGCGACCGGCCACACUGGGACUGAGACACGGCCCAGACUCCUACGGGAGGCAGCAGUGGGGAAUAUUGCGCAAUGGGCGGAAGCCUGACGCAGCGACGCCGCGUGGGGGAUGACGGCCUUCGGGUUGUAAACCUCUUUCGGCCCCGACGAAGCGUGAGUGACGGUAGGGGUAGAAGAAGCACCGGCCAACUACGUGCCAGCAGCCGCAGUAAGAC
rnacentral:rRNA from 1 species